AACGAACGCUGGCGGCAGGCUUAACACAUGCAAGUCGAACGCAUGCCUUCGGGCAUGAGUGGCAGACGGGUGAGUAACGCGUGGGAACCUACCCCUUGGUACGGGAUAGCUCCGGGAAACUGGAGAUAAUACCGUAUGUGUCCUGAGGGACAAAGAUUCAUCGCCAAGGGAUGGGCCCGCGUCGGAUUAGCGAGUUGGUGGGGUAACGGCCUACCAAGGCGACGAUCCGUGUCUGGUCUCAGAGGAUGAUCAGCCACAUUGGGACUGAGACACGGCCCAAUCUCGGACGCGAGGCAGGGGUGUGGUGUAUUGUACGAGGAACGCUAAUCUAACCCAGCCGCGUCGCGUGUGUGAUGAAUGGCGUAGGAUUGUAAAGCUCUCUCUCCGGUGACGUUAAUGACGGUAACCGGAAAAGAAGCACCGGCUAACUUCGUG
rnacentral:rRNA from 1 species